UAGAGAGAAGCUUGCUUCUCUUGAGAGCGGCGGACGGGUGAGUAAUACCUAGGAAUCUGCCUGAUAGUGGGGGAUAACGUUCGGAAACGGACGCUAAUACCGCAUACGUCCUACGGGAGAAAGCAGGGGACCUUCGGGCCUUGCGCUAUCAGAUGAGCCUAGGUCGGAUUAGCUAGUUGGUGAGGUAAUGGCUCACCAAGGCUACGAUCCGUAACUGGUCUGAGAGGAUGAUCAGUCACACUGGAACUGAGACACGGUCCAGACUCCUACGGGAGGCAGCAGUGGGGAAUAUUGGACAAUGGGCGAAAGCCUGAUCCAGCCAUGCCGCGUGUGUGAAGAAGGUCUUCGGAUUGUAAAGCACUUUAAGUUGGGAGGAAGGGCAUUAACCUAAUACGUUAGUGUUUUGACGUUACCGACAGAAUAAGCACCGGCUAACUCUGUGCCAGCAGCCGCGGUAAUACAGAGGGUGCAAGCGUUAAUCGGAAUUACUGGGCGUAAAGCGCGCGUAGGUGGUUUGUUAAGUUGAAUGUGAAAUCCCCGGGCUCAACCUGGGAACUGCAUCCAAAACUGGCAAGCUAGAGUAUGGUAGAGGGUAGUGGAAUUUCCUGUGUAGCGGUGAAAUGCGUAGAUAUAGGAAGGAACACCAGUGGCGAAGGCGACUACCUGGACUGAUACUGACACUGAGGUGCGAAAGCGUGGGGAGCAAACAGGAUUAGAUACCCUGGUAGUCCACGCCGUAAACGAUGUCAACUAGCCGUUGGGAGUCUUGAACUCUUAGUGGCGCAGCUAACGCAUUAAGUUGACCGCCUGGGGAGUACGGCCGCAAGGUUAAAACUCAAAUGAAUUGACGGGGGCCCGCACAAGCGGUGGGAGCAUGUGGUUUAAUUCGAAGCAACGCGAAGAACCUUACCAGGCCUUGACAUCCAAUGAAACUUUCUAGAAGAUAGAUUGGGUGCCCUUCGGGGAACAUUGAAGAC
rnacentral:rRNA from 1 species